AGAGUGAACGCUGGCGGUAGGCCUAACACAUGCAAGUCGAACGGCAGCACAGUGGUAGCAAUACCAUGGGUGGCGAGUGGCGGACGGGUGAGGAAUACAUCGGAAUCUACCUUUUCGUGGGGGAUAACGUAGGGAAACUUACGCUAAUACCGCAUACGCCCUUUGGGGGAAAGCCGGGGAUCGCAAGACCUGGCGCGGAUAGAUAAGCCGAUGUCGGAUUAGCUAGUUGGUGAGGUAAUGGCUCACCAAGGCGACGAUCCGUAGCUGGUCUGAGAGGAUGAUCAGCCACACUGGAACUGAGACACGGUCCAGACUCCUACGGGAGGCAGCAGUGGGGAAUAUUGGACAAUGGGCGCAAGCCUGAUCCAGCCAUACCGCGUGGGUGAAGAAGGCCUUGGUUGUAAAGCCCUUUUGUUGGAAAGUAAAAGCAAUCGGUUAAUACCGGUUGUUCUGACGGUACCAAAGAAUAAGACACCGGCUAACUCGUGCCAGCAGCCGCGUAAUCGU
rnacentral:rRNA from 1 species